rnacentral:rRNA from 1 species
GACGAACGCUGGCGGCGUGCUUAACACAUGCAAGUCGAGCGGAAAGGCCCUUCGGGGUACUCGAGCGGCGAACGGGUGAGUAACACGUGAGUAAUCUGCCCCUCACUCAGGGAUAACCACGGGAAGCUGUGGCUAAUACCUGAUAUGACCACGUCUCGCAUGGGGUGUGGUGGAAAGCUUUUGCGGUGGGGGAUGUGCUCGCGGCCUAUCAGCUUGUUGGUGAGGUAGUGGCUCACCAAGGCUUCGACGGGUAGCCGGCCUGAGAGGGUGACCGGCCACACUGGGACUGAGACACGGCCCAGACUCCUACGGGAGGCAGCAGUGGGGAAUAUUGGACAAUGGGCGAAAGCCUGAUCCAGCAACGCCGCGUGAGGGAUGACGGCCUUCGGGUUGUAAACCUCUUUCACCUCUGACGAAGCGCAAGUGACGGUAAGGGGAGAAGAAGGACCGGCCAACUACGUGCCAGCAGCCGCAGUAA